rnacentral:rRNA from 1 species
CUUGAAGAGAUUCGAGUGUGCCUUCGGGAACUCUGAGACAGGUGCUGCAUGGCUGUCGUCAGCUCGUGUUGUGAAAUGUUGGGUUAAGUCCCGCAACGAGCGCAACCCUUAUCCUUGUUUGCCAGCACUUCGGGUGGGAACUCCAGGGAGACUGCCGGUGAUAAACCGGAGGAAGGUGGGGACGACGUCAAGUCAUCAUGGCCCUUACGAGUAGGGCUACACACGUGCUACAAUGGCAUAUACAGAGGGCAGCAAGACCGCGAGGUGGAGCGAAUCCCAGAAAGUAUGUCGUAGUCCGGAUCGGAGUCUGCAACUCGACUCCGUGAAGUCGGAAUCGCUAGUAAUCGUGGAUCAGAAUGCCACGGUGAAUACGUUCCCGGGCCUUGUACACACCGCCCGUCACACCAUGGGAGUGGGCUGCACCAGAAGUAGAUAGCUUAACCUUCGGGAGGGCGUUUACCACGGUGUGGUUCAUGACUGGGGUGAAGUCGUAACAAGGUAGCCCUAGGGGAACCUGGGGCUGGAUCACCUCCUUACAAAA